rnacentral:lncRNA from 1 species
CCUUUGUCAUCUGAUUAGUCUUUAAAGAUGCAGCACUCUCUUUCCACCUCAUAAGGCCCUCAGUUCCUGAGAACUCAUCUUGAUCUCAUUCAGGAGAAAAGUAAAUCCCUCAAGAUCUUCCUUAUGAUGCUUACAGUCCAUGCUGCUCUUCCCAUGUGAAGAACUGACGUCAGUCAAAUUUGGCCCAAUCAAGAAAUCAAAGAAUAACAAAAGAAUUGCAAUGCAUUAAUAAAGACCUAGAUCCAUCCAGACUUUAAGAUCCUCUUCCAAAAGUCCAGUGGGAUACCUGAUUCAUCAUCCUGUCUUUCACCAGCCAAGGAAUGCAGAGCGUCCUGGUCAAGAGGCAAAGCUGGUCAGACAAGCUUCCGCCAGUAAGUUCAUUUCUUCUUCCAUAUUUCUGUCAUUCUCUUCUUCUCCGCCUCUCUCCAACUCUCACCAACUUGUGAUGAAUAAUUACUUUGAAAACAGGCAUUAUCUUUAUCAAGACGUCCUCAAAUAUCAGUUCUUUUAGAUCCUUCAUGGCUCUGUCCACCAACUUUGGGACAAGUAAAGGAAGAAUUAAAGAAAAACAUACUGUUCCUUUCUUUUUGAUCAGUGUGUUUAUGUAAGAAUACUCUUUUACUCCAGGCCUCCUGUGGAAUAGGAAAUUAAACAAAUUCUUACCUACUUCCUAAUUACAUUCAGCAUGCUUCCUGUCUUUCCCCAGUCUCAGUCUUAUGUAGGAUAAGAUUGUCCUUUGGAAAGGACAAACCAGCUCUGCAUACUUGCAUACAAGAUACUUUCUUAGCUGAAGAUUUUCAGAACCAUUUUCUCUGAUAAGGGUGUAAGGUGGGUGAAGGAGAUCACUCUCCAGAUCCAAUGAGAGAAGGGCAGGCCAGGGGUGGGAGUAGAAAUACAUAGAUUCCAAGUCUCUGUCAUUGUGAGCAAUUAAUUAACUUGACACAUGGAAGAAGCCUGAGUUGGGAAAUUUCAGAAGUAGGAAAAUAAUACUUGGCUUUAGUUUUCGUCCAUACAAAAACCAGGUUUGAUAAAAGAUGAUCAACCAGUACAUCACGGUAAAUAUAUGUGCUGAAUUUAGCUCAGGAGAUAUGGAGCUAGAGAUGUAGAGCCACGUAAGUGGCCAACCUGAAAAAUCAUUUUAGUCAUUGUGUGAAUAACACAUAGAAUUAAGGAAAGGGAGAAGUCUGAGAAAUUGGACCUUGGAAUUUUCUCUUUGCUUUGGUGGGUAAGAUGUGUUAAAAUUUAAGAUUGAUUAGAAAAUGACAUGAAUGUCGCCCAUGUUUUUUCAAUGAUCAUAACUAUCUUGCAGAUACCUACACACAAUUUUAACCAACUGAGAACAUAAGGAUUCAUGCUGUGGAUGUGGGAGCAGAAACGGACCAAGAUGUCAGCAAUGACUCCAGCGUUCUAAAAAUCCAGAAGAUCACUACAAACAAAUGA